AGAAGCAUUGUUAAGGAACUCGGCAAAAUGACCCCGUAACUUCGGGAGAAGGGGUGCUCCAGAGAUGGAGCCGCAGAGAACUGGCCCAAGCAACUGUUUAGCAAAAACACAGGUCUAUGCAAAACCGAAAGGUGAGGUAUAUGGGCUGACGCCUGCCCGGUGCUGGAAGGUUAAGAGGAGAGGUUAGCGCAAGCGAAGCUUUGAAUUUAAGCCCCAGUAAACGGCGGCCGUAACUAUAACGGUCCUAAGGUAGCGAAAUUCCUUGUCGGGUAAGUUCCGACCCGCACGAAAGGCGUAAUGAUUUGAGCGCUGUCUCGACAAUGCAUCCGGUGAAAUUGAAGUACCAGUGAAGAUGCUGGUUACCUGCGCCAGGACGGAAAGACCCCAUGGAGCUUUACUCUAGCUUGAUACUGGGGUUCGGUAUUGCAUGUACAGGAUAGGUGGGAGACUGAGAAGAUGUGUCGCCAGAUGCAUCAGAGUCGAUGUUGGGAUACCACCCCUGCAGUACUGGGCUUCUAACCUGCAGCCGUGACCCGGCUGGGGGACAAUGUCUGGUGGGGAGUUUGACUGGGGCGGUCGCCUCCGAAAGAGUAUCGGAGGCGCUCAAAGGUUCCCUCAGAAUGGUUGGAAACCAUUCGAAGAGCGCAAAGGCAGAAGGGAGCUUGACUGCGACACCGACGGGUGGAGCAGGUACGAAAGUAGGACUUAGUGAUCCGGUGGUAUAAAGUGGGAUUGCCAUCGCUCAACGGAUAAAAGCUACCCUGGGGAUAACAGGCUUAUCACUCCCAAGAGUUCACAUCGACGGAGUGGUUUGGCACCUCGAUGUCGGCUCAUCGCAUCCUGGGGCUGAAGUCGGUCCCAAGGGUUGGGCUGUUCGCCCAUUAAAGCGGUACGCGAGCUGGGUUCAGAACGUCGUGAGACAGUUCGGUCCCUAUCCGGCGUGGGCGUAGGAUAUCUGAGAGGAGCUGUCCUUAGUACGAGAGGACCGGGAUGGACUGACCUCUGGUGUACCGGUUGCAUUGCCAAAUGCAUAGCCGGGUAGCCAAGUCGGGACGGGAUAAACGCUGAAGGCAUCUAAGCGUGAAGCCCCCCUCAAGAUGAGAUAUCCCAUAACAUAAGUUAGUAAGACCCCUUGAAGACGACGAGGUAGAUAGGCAGAAGGUGGAAGUGUGGUGACAUAUGGAGCUGAUCUGUACUAAUAGGUCGAGGGCUUAACCAA
rnacentral:rRNA from 1 species